AAGCCAAACUGAACCUUCUACUGAAACGAGAACUCUUGAAUCCAUUAACCUAAGCCAAUCCGGAACCUUCUCCUCAGAACUGUUGAAUCCAUUAACCCUAACUCCAUUUUGCAGAGCCAUGCGUGCCCUAACCAAACUCUGCAGUGCCGCCACCGGACGGCGGUUGUUUCCGGCGGCGACUGCAGUGUCUACCAGGUCAUACGCUCUGAUUCCGAUGGUGAUAGAACACUCCUCAAGAGGGGAGAGAGCCUACGACAUCUUCUCUCGCCUUCUCAAAGAGCGAAUCGUGUGUAUCAACGGUCCGAUCUCCGACGACACUGCCCACGUCGUUGUCGCUCAACUGCUCUUCCUUGAGUCCGAGAACCCUUCUAAACCUAUCCACAUGUAUCUCAACUCUCCCGGUGGCGCUGUCAGCGCAGGUCUUGCUAUUUAUGAUACAAUGCAGUACAUUAGGUCGCCAGUUAAUACCAUUUGUUUGGGUCAAGCUGCAUCAAUGGGUUCCCUGCUAUUGGCUGCGGGUGCCAAGGGUGAGAGACGGGCACUCCCAAAUGCCACAAUUAUGAUUCACCAGCCUUCAGGUGGGUACAGUGGGCAGGCAAAGGAUAUGACUAUUCACACAAAACAGAUUAUUCGGGUUUGGGAUUCGCUGAAUGCGUUGUAUGCAAAGCAUACUGGACAGUCAUUAGAUAUUAUUCAAAAGAAUAUGGAUAGGGAUUAUUUUAUGACCCCAGAAGAGGCAAAGGAGUUUGGGAUAAUUGAUGAGGUUAUUGAUCAGAGACCAAUGGCUUUAGUGACUGAUGCAGUUGGGAAUGAAGGCAAAGAUAAAGGCUCUAAUAAGGAUUGAGGAUUCCCAAAGGAUAUCAAGCUGCAUAGCUGUGAUGAGUUUUAUGGAUAAUGAUAAACAAAUAAUCUGCUGUUACAUGUGAUGGGGUAGCUGGCUGCAGCUAUGGCUUUAUUUCGGGGACUCUUUUUUUUUUUUUUUUUGUACGGGGGCUAGCAUUCACUUAUCUAUUUAUGAAUCAAGUCAUUAUUUUAAUACUCAAUAAUUUAGAUUCUCAUCGGGAACAUGCUUAGCAAUUUUGUGAGACUUUAUUUUUUUCACAUAUUUAUGACUGAAACUCAAGCGGAUUCUCAUCAACACCAUUUUGAUUGUAAAUUUGAAGAUGGCAUUGCUAUCACAUUCAUAGGAAAGGAGUUUCUGUAACACUCGGAUAAUAUGGGUCCUUUGUGUUUUUCUGAACAAUAUGGAAAGAGGGGAAUAGAUCCUUUGAAAGUAGAUUUUGGUAGUGAAGAGGAUGUGUUCCUUAAAACUCACUUUGUCUGGCGUAGAGGCUCUGUGGUGAAUGUAUAUCUCCAUUUUGUUUACUUC